AUCUGCCAUGGUUGUGAGUACGGCAGCUUUUCUGAAUCCUCUGAGUCCUUUCGUCAAAUCAUCGAACCCAAGGGGAGCCCUGCAGACCCCUGACACAGCCUUCCGUUCCUUUUCAUCUGCUCAUUGGCCAGCCACUGCCAGCCCCUCCACGGUCUCCGACUUGCUGACUCUCCAAUCCCACCUUCUCCAGAAGGCUCAUUCAGUUCAUGACACCGGCUCCUCCUUUUAACAUGUCCUGGGUGUUUCACUCACCGAAUCUUCCAGGGAAUGGCUUCCUAUGAAUAGAGAAUGGAAAGAGAAAAUAGAAGUCUGACUGGAGGAACCUGGCCAACACCACCUUAACCAAUGAUCUGGGCUUCUAUUGUGCAUGAUGUCGCUUGGCUCUGGUGCACUCUCUGAUCUGACAGGAGGAGAAGGGCACUCACUUCUGCGGGACUCUUCCCCCAAACUCGUAACUCCAGUGGAAUCCUGAAACAAACAAACAAACAAACAAACAAACAGAACGUGAGAUGAUCUCAGACUCAGGACAUUCUACAAAAUACCUGACCAUGACUCUUCCAAACUGUUGAGGUUGUGAUAAACAAGGAAAGAUGGCCUAGGAGGUAUGUAAAUGUAAUGUGGGGGCCUGGAUUUGGACCCUGGAACAGAAAAAGGACAUUAGGGGAAAAACUGGUAAAAUCUGAACAGAGGCUGUAGUUUAGUUAAUAGUAAUGUACUAUUGUUUAUUAUCAUGGUUUUGAUUAAUAUACCACAAGUUAUGUGAGUGUUAACAUUAGGGAAACUGGGAAAAGCAUGUAGGGCAACUUUGUAUAAUCUUUGCAACUUUCUGUAAAU